GACGAACGCUGGCGGCGUGCUUAACACAUGCAAGUCGAGCGGUAAGGCCUUUCGGGGUACACGAGCGGCGAACGGGUGAGUAACACGUGGGUGACCUGCCCUCCACUUCGGGAUAAGCCUGGGAAACCGGGUCUAAUACCGGAUAGGACCAUAUGAUGCAUGUCGUGUGGUGGAAAGUUGUGUCGGUGGGGAAUGGGCCCGCGGUCUAUCAGCUGGUUGG
rnacentral:rRNA from 1 species